GGAGUCUGGGCCGUAUCUCAGUCCCAAUGUGGCCGUCCACCCUCUUAGGCCGGCUACCCAUCAUGGCCAUGGUAGGCCUUUACCCCACCAUCUAGCUAAUGGGACGCGGACUCAUCCUUCAGCGAGGCCUUAGCCCCUUUCCAGUAUUCAGCUUGUGCUAUAUACUGCUCAUCCGGCAUUAUCCUGACUUUCAUCAGGCUAUUCCCAACUGUAGGACAGAUUAUCCACGCGUUACUCACCCGUCCGCUGCUCUAGCUUGAAUAAAUCCAAGUUACCGCUCAACUUGCAUGCUUAAAACGCGCCGCCAGCGUCGUU
rnacentral:rRNA from 1 species